ACUCCUACGGGAGGCAGCAGUGAGGAAUAUUGGUCAAUGGAGGGAACUCUGAACCAGCCAUCCCGCGUGUAGGAAGACGGCCUUAUGGGUUGUAAACUACUUUUAUACAGGAAGAAACGUACCCUCGUGAGGGUGCCUGACGGUACUGUAGGAAUAAGCACCGGCUAACUCCGUGCCAGCAGCCGCGGUAAUACGGAGGGUGCGAGCGUUAAUCGGAAUUACUGGGCGUAAAGCGCAUGCAGGCGGCCUGUUAAGUCAGAUGUGAAAGCCCGGGGCUUAACCUCGGAAUUGCAUUUGAAACUGGCAGGCUAGAGUCUUGUAGAGGGGGUAGGAAUUUCAUGGUGUAGCGGUGAAAUGCAGUAGAGAUCUGAAGGAAUACCAGUGGCGAAGGCGGCCCCCUGGACCAAAGAACUGACGCUCAGAUGCGAAAGCGUGGGGAGCAAACA
rnacentral:rRNA from 1 species